GACAUAGGUGGCGAACGUUAUCCGGAUUUAUUGGGUUUAAAGGGUGCGUAGGCGGCCCGUUAAGUCAGUGGUGAAAGCCUCCAGCUCAACUGGAGAACUGCCAUUGAUACUGGCGGGCUUGAGUACAGACGAGGUUGGCGGAAUUGAUUGUGUAGCGGUGAAAUGCAUAGAUACAAUCAAGAACACCGAUUGCGUAGGCAGCUAACUAGGCUGUAACUGACGCUGAGGCACGAAAGCGUGGGGAGCGAACAGG
rnacentral:rRNA from 1 species